UUCUUCACACCGUCGAAUGCUUCGGUGAUCUCUGCUCUCGAUUCUUGAAGGGCUCGGUGGGCACCAUCGGCGGGUAGCACGACCGGGUCGGUCAUGGACGAGCUCGCCUGUUCCACCGGGUCCAUAAAGGUCACCUUCUCUUAUUUGUCUUCCCCCCUCACCUCUUCAGUUCUGUGCUGCAACCCUAAGGAGGAGGGGUUUACCCGAUGGCGGUGUGGUUGUCGAGGGUUGCACCUCUUUGGGAACUUUUGACAAACGAUUGUCAUGCGUUUAGAGUCGUAGGUCGAUGCUGAAGCUUUAGAGAAUAUGGUGUUUGACGAGUCGGUUUCCGACGGGUUUUCUCGUUUGCUCCCGAGGAUGAUAAGAACGUCGUAUUCGCUGCCGCCAACAGGUUGCUACCGACGUUGGUCCGUCUUCUGGACUCCGCCGUCGGUGCCAUCUCCUACCACGAUACGAGGGAGAAGGCCGCAGCGGCGAUCAGGAGGAUCUCGCCCAUGCAGAGUUGUCGCCGCCUCCUGCUGGCGGAGGGCCCGCCCCUCCUCAACCACCCUUCCCGCGUCUGGAGUCUGAGGGAGGCGCUACAAAGGAAAAGGCCUUCGUGGCCCUCCAAACCCUAAUGCUAACAAAGGAAAACGGGUCAUCAUCGGAUCCCACGGUGGGAUCACAGCCUUUCGUGAGAUCUGUCGUGCAAGAAAGCCCUUCGCCUCGGCCACCGCCGCCGUAGUGAUCAAGAAAAUUGAGAAGCAACGAGGUGGGUGUGUGCACUCGGUCGUGAGAAUGAUACUGUGUUUCCUUGGUGGAAUGGUGCGAAAAUUGGCUCAAAUGCAGGUGCCAUUUUUAAAGGUACAAGAUUGGUGUUGAUCUUGAUCAGGCGAAAUUUUGGAGUCAUGGAUGUCAUAUUAUCUGCUUAACUUAGUUUCUUGUCUUAGCUAGCACCUUAAACUUUGUAAUCAUGCUUUAUUGUCCUUCAUUUUGCAUCCAUUCCCCAUUAAAAUUCUAACUUUUCAAUCUUGAUGAUUAAAUACCAAUAUAUUAUUUGUUCUCUUUUGAAGAAUAAUUUGCUUUUCACUUAGCAAUUCUGUUAAUGUCCAUUUACAUGGAACUCCCACCAUGCAUUAAGAGAAAUACUUGCUCAUCCUUAUUCUAGAUUACUGUCCCCCCGAACAAUAAUGUGCAUGACUCGUAUCUUUUGUUUUAAAGCUCAUGUUGUUCAAAAUUAAUAAUGUCAAGCUUGAAGCUUUUUGGUAGUGUCUUCAUAUACCUCCAACUUUGCUUCUUUAUUCUCCUUUCCUUAUAGUUUGAUUUGGUGGGAUUGCUAUGGCAUGAAGGUGACAUUAUGUUUCUUUCUUGGAGAUGAAUGUGCAAGCUUCUGAACUCUUGCAUCACUAUUGUCUCUCAUAGUGUCCAAUAAAAGUAUGGAGACUUAUAGUUGUUUUCUAAACCAUAGUUUCUACUUUAUAUAUGUGUUCUUUACAGGAAAUUAUUGUUCAAUUAGUCUUACACAUCUUCCUGCUGAAUCUUAUCAUUCAAAUAUGUUCUUUUGUUUUUCAUGGAAAGGAUUUUGCAAGAUUUUGAGUACUGCCAUACUUGUUGUUUCCUAGUGUCCCGUAACAUUAUGGGCACAAAUUAUUUGUUUUCCAAUCAUAGUUUAUAUAUGUGUUUCUUUGGGAAUUUAUCAUUCGAAGGAUCUUAAAUUAAAUAUGUUUUAAAACACUUGUCAUUUAGAUCGGUUUAUAUCGACUGUAUGGAAGGCACAACAAUGCUGCAAGUACCUGAAAGUGUUCUGUUUCAGCAUGUUUUAAAUCAAAUAGGCGAUAGAAAUGAAUGCAUCAUAUUACAAUGUGAGACUUCGGUCUAGAUUGGAAAAAUACAAAUGUCGCAUGAUUCUUGUUUUUUGAAAAGGGAUCGUAAGUGUAGGCACUUAUCGAUGUCUAUUUUUCUCUUACGAAUAUGAAACAUUAAGCAUGGGGACAAGGUGGGGCUGUUCAUUCGGCUCAAGGGUGAUCAUCGACAUCAUGUCAUAACAAUUAGAUAGAAGAUUAUGUCGCGACACAAAUACUCCAUGCAUUGCAUUUGUUUAUUUUUUAUUGGGAAAGAAUUGAGGACCAUAGUACCUUUGUUAUAGUCGAAACUGAUAAGAAGCUACAUUCGAUCAUUAUUUUGAUCAUCUUGUUAACAAUAGGAAGUUUAUAGGUUGCAAUGAGGAUAGCCUUUUUUUUCUUUUUUGUGUGCAAAGAAUUAAUGAUGAAAAUGGGAUUGGAGUCCAAAAGUUUAUGAUAAAUUAUUAAAUUUUUUUAUGAACUGCUAGCUGUCAAAUGGUAACUAUCUUCAAUUAUAGUUACCUUACAAAUUAUUAUCCCAAGUACUAGUCAUUGCCACAAAGAAACACAAUGUUUAUUUUGGGAGGACAAGCAAUUCCGCUAGCGAUCACCAUACAACUGGACUCGGUGUAGAGCACCAUCGUCGGAAGAAACGACCCAACUUGGGUUGUGUGUGCGGGGCACUCCAAUCUCUCUGGUCAUGGUCCUGACGCUGUUCAUCCACAUAUCCGCGGCGUCUGAUGUGUUUAUCCUUGCCGUUCUCCUCUACGGUCUCUGUUCGUCGAUUUUUGAGUCUCCUCCGGUAAGUCUUCUGGUUCGGUGAAAGAUGUCUUAUGAAAUGAAGCUGCACGGAGGGAAGCGAAGUGGUCAGUCGUGUGAAGACAACAUGGCCUACUAAUUUCCAGCGGUCGAACGUAAGGCACAUGAGACCUGAUCUCCAUCUCUGAUUCCGAAACUGCGAAGAGACGCUCCAUCAUUAAUCAAUUUAUGCUCCUUGUAGCAUAAGCAGAACUGACCCCACACAUGAGACCUGCCAUCACCACCGCAAACGUUAUGGACUCCAAAUACAUCAGUUGGGAAUGUUUCUCUCUCUCUCUCUCUCUCUCUCUCUCUCUCUUUCGACAGUUCAUCCGGUGAGAGACGAAUCGAACUGUACCAAGAAAUGCAGCAACCUCCGUCGUCGGGGGACUCGCUGAAGAUGUCCUCGAUCUCCAUCUUCAGCUCCGCCACGGAAGCUGUCCUCGCGACUUCCAUCUCUGCCAACAUCGCAGUCUUGAGGUUUGGCAACGACAGAUCCGGAAGAACAUGCACUUUCUGGAAAGGUCAAAGAAAGUAGCGGAAGGUACCGUAGGAGGAGCCAUCCAAUUUGAGGACGGAGAGGCGGAGACGCUGCUCGGGGAGGCGGCAAUAGGAGAUGCUUCUGCGCCCGCCAGCGGAGGCGCCGAUGCCGACGACGUCGUCGUCAUCGACGUGUGGGGAUGGCGAAGGAUGCGCAGGCGACCGCGGCAGCUUCCCCCACCCAGGGCACCUCGCCAUCGCUGUACCGGUGAAUGUAUCUCCCCUCUCUGGCGACGGGAGAGAAGAAGAAAAGAAGAAGAAGAAGAAGAAGAACCGAUCGGUGCCUAGGAUGGAAGGGCACGCGAUCCCUUGUCGUCUUCUUUGCCCCUUUGCCUUUUUGUUGCCGACUCCCGUGGUGUAACAGAAACAAGAUUCCUGCAGGGAAACGAGGCGGGGAAGCUAGCCUCCGUUGCGGUGCGCUUGAUCCACGCCGCAGAUCGGUGGUAGCACGGAUCAUUACGAUGACUCCCCUUGCGGUGGACGGUCCUCAUGGCUCCAGUUUCCGUCCGUCCGCCCGUCCUCUGUUUCCGUCAUUGGCAGGUGAUGAACUACGGAUGGGAUCAGCGGAUGCGGUUGGAUUCGAACCUGAACCUAAACAAUAACUGGUGAAGCCUGAAGGGGCCGUUCAAGCGGGCAGCUGCUUGGCCGACGGUUGCGGGGACAGUUCGACGCCGUCGCCGAACCGGCGUAAAUGGCAUAUUUAAUGGGAUCUCAAUCUUCAUCGACGGAUUCAAUUUCUUUCCGCUCCGGUCAGGUGCUUUGUUUCUUUCUGGUUUUUGAUCCCCUAGUAGCAUUAGAUCGAUCGGACGGAUUUCAAUUUGCAGUCACAUACAAUUGCCUGUCUCUUUACUUGACAUGUUUUUUCGUAUAGAAAAAAUAUUGCUUUGAGAGAUAAUGGAUAGGACUUAUUUCUACUA